GAUGAACGCUGGCGGCGUGCCUAAUACAUGCAAGUCGAGCGAACGGACGAGAAGCUUGCUUCUCUGAUGUUAGCGGCGGACGGGUGAGUAACACGUGGAUAACCUACCUAUAAGACUGGGAUAACUUCGGGAAACCGGAGCUAAUACCGGAUGAUAUUUUGAACCGCAUGGUUCAAAAGUGAAAGACGGUCUUGCUGUCACUUAUAGAUGGAUCCGCGCUGCAUUAGCUAGUUGGUAAGGUAACGGCUUACCAAGGCAACGAGGCAUAGCCGACCUGAGAGGGGGAUCGGCCACACUGGAGCUGAGACACGGUCCAGACUCCGACGGGAGGCAGCAGUAGGGAAUCUUCCGCAAUGGGCGAAAGCCUGACGGAGCACCGCCGCGUGAGUGAUGAAGGUCUUCGGAUCGUAAAUCUCUGUUAUUAGGGAAGAACAUAUGUGUAAGUAACUGUGCACAUCUUGACGGUACCUAAUCAGAAAGCCACGGCUAACUACGUG
rnacentral:rRNA from 1 species